AGAGUUUGAUCAUGGCUCAGAGUAAACGCUGGCGGCGUACCUAACACAUGCAAGUCGAACGGUCUAUCAUGUCGUAUCGGUAGAUAGUGGCAAACGGGUGAGUAACACGUAAGUAAUCUUCCCUUAAGAGGGGGAUAACCUGGCGAAAGUCGGGCUAAUAUCCCAUAUAAUCCGCAGAGGGCAUCCUCUGUAGAUGAAAGGCGCAAGCCACUUAAGGAGGAACUUGCGGCCUAUCAGCUAGUUGGUGAGGUAAAGGCUUACCAAGGCUAUGACGGGUAGCUGGUCUGAAAGGACGAACAGCCACAGGGGCACUGAGAUACGGGCCCCACUCCUACGGGAGGCAGCAGUGGGGAAUUUUGGACAAUGGGCGAAAGCCUGAUCCAGUAACGCCGCGUGGGGGAUGAAGGUUUUCGGAUUGUAAACCCCUUUUGCAGGGAACGAUAAUGACGGUACUCUGCGAAUAAGCACCGGCCAACUACGUGCCAGCAGCCGCGGUAAUACGUAGGGUGCAAGCGUUACUCGGAUUUACUAGGCGUAAAGCGCGUGUAGGUGGGGCUUUAAGUCCAUUGUAAAAUCUCUCCGCCCAACGGAGAUAUGUCGAUGGAUACUGAAGUCCUUGAGUGAGGCAAGGGAAACCGGAAUUCCCGGUGUAGCAGUGAAAUGCGUAGAUAUCGGGAGGAACGCCGAAGGCGAAAGCGGGUUUCUGGGCCUAUACUGACACUGAGACGCGAAAGCUAGGGGA
rnacentral:rRNA from 1 species